rnacentral:rRNA from 1 species
GACGAACUCUGGCUGCGUGCCUAAUACAUGCAAGUAGAACGCAGUUUCGAACGGGUGAGUAACGCGUAGGUAACUGCCUGGUAGCGGGGGUUUACUAUUGGCAACGAUCGCUAAUACUGCAUACUACCAGAUGGACCUGCGUUGUAUUAGCUAGUUGGUGGGGUAACGGCUCACCAAGGCAACGAUACAUAGCCGACCUGAGAGGUGGAUCGGCCACACUGGGACUGAGACACGGCCCAGACUCCUACGGGAGGCAGCAGUAUGGAAACUUCGGGAAUGGACGGAAGUCUGACCGGGCAACGAGGCGUGGGGGGAGAAGGUUUGCGGAAGGUAAAGAUCUGUUGGACGAGAAGCGGUAUCGUACCAGAAAGGGACGGCUAACUAAGUGCCAGCAGCCGCGGUAAUAC